rnacentral:rRNA from 1 species
UACGUAGGUGACAAGCGUUGUCCGGAUUUACUGGGGGUAAAGAGCGCGCAGGCGGUCGUUCAAGUCGAGUGUGAAAGCCCCCGGCUCAACUGGGGAGGGUCACUCGAUACUGAUCGACUCGAAGGCAGGAGAGGGUAGUGGAAUUCCCGGUGUAGUGGUGAAAUGCGUAGAUAUCAAGAGGAACACCAGUGGCGAAGGCGAGUCCCUGGACAACACCUGACACUGAGGCACGAAAGCUAGGGGAGCAAACAGG